rnacentral:rRNA from 1 species
GUCCUACGGGAGGCAGCAGUGGGGGAUAUUGCACAAUGGGGGGAACCCUGAUGCAGCGACGCCGCGUGGGCGAUGGAGUGCUUCGGCAUGUAAAGCCCUAUCUGCAGGGAAGAAAAUGACGGUACCUGACUAAGAAGCCCCGGCUAAAUACGUGCCAGCAGCCGCGGUAAUACGUAUGGGGCAAGCGUUAUCCGGAUUUACUGGGUGUAAAGGGAGCGUAGGCGGCCUGGCAAGUCUGAUGUGAAAUAC